GAUGAAGAACGUAGUGAAAUGCGAUACGUAAUGUGAAUUGCAAAUUCAGUGAAUCAUCGAGUCUUUGAACGCACAUUGCGCCCCCUGGUAUUCCGGGGGGCAUGCCUGUCCGAGCGUCAUUGCUGCCCUCAAGCACGGCUUGUGUGUUGGGCCCCGUCCUCCGAUCCCGGGGGACGGGCCCGAAAGGCAGCGGCGGCACCGCGUCCGGUCCUCGAGCGUAUGGGGCUUUGUCACCCGCUCUGUAGGCCCGGCCGGCGCUUGCCGAUCAACCCAAAUUUUUAUCCAGGUUGACCUCGGAUCAGGUAGGGAUACCCGCUGAACUUAAGCAUAUCAAAAGCGGAGGA
rnacentral:misc_RNA from 1 species